rnacentral:rRNA from 1 species
AUUGGACGCUGGCGGCAGGCCUAACACAUGCAAGUCGAGCGGAUGAAGGGAGCUUGCUCCUGGAUUCAGCGGCGGACGGGUGAGUAAUGCCUAGGAAUCUGCCUUGUAGUUGGGGAUAACGUCCGUACACGGGCGCUAAUACCGCAUACGUCCUGAGGUAGAAAGUGGGGGAUCUUCGGACCUCACGCUACCAGAUGAGCCUAGGUUGGAUUAGCUAGUUGGUUGGGUAAAUGCCUACCAAGGCGACGAGCCGUAACUGGUCUGAGAGGGUGAUCAGUCACACUGGAACUGAGACACGGUCCAGACUCCUACGGGAGGCAGCAGUGGGGAAUAUUGAACAAUGGGCGAAAGCCUGACCCAGCAACGCCGCGUGAGUGAGGAAGGUCUUCGGAUUGUAAAACUCUGUUAUUGGGGAAGAAGAGAAGUAUAAUAAACUGUGCCGAUUUUGACGUUACCAAAUAAGAAAGCCCCGGCUAACUACGUG